rnacentral:rRNA from 2 species
CUCUAUCGUCUAUUACUGGGCGUAAGCGCACUGCUAGGCGGUCUCGUCAAGUCGGAUGUGAAAUCCCCGGGCUCAACCUGGGAACUGCAUUCUUAACUGGCGAGCUAGAGUCUUGUAGAGGGGGGUAGAAUUCCAGGUGUAGCGGUGAAAUGCGUAGAGAUCUGGAGGAAUACCGGUGGCGAAGGCGGCCCCCUGGAAUAAGACUGACGCUCAGACGCGAAAGCGUGGGGAGCAAACAGGAUUAGAUACCCUGGUAGUCCACGCCGUAAACGAUGUCGAUUUGCUGUUGGUGCCGUUGAGGCUUGGCUUCCGGAGCUAACGCGUUAGAUCAACGGCCGGGGAAGUACGGCCGCAGAGUUAAAACUCAAAUGAUUUGACGGGACCCGCACCAACCGUGGAAGAUGGUGAUUAAAUUCAUGGCACGGGGAAGAACCUUACCUGGUCUUGAUGCCUGGGAUGUUUCCAAAAAUUGGUUGUGCUCUUCGGAAACUGUGAGACAGGUGCUGCAUGGCUGUCGUCAGCUCGUGUUCGUGAGAUGUUGGGUUAAGUCCCGCAACGAGCGCAACCCUUAUCAUUAGUUGCUAGCGCAUCAGGACUGUAACUAAACUGACACUGACAGUGAUGACUGGAUGAAGGAUGACGAUGACGUCCUCAUCGUCAUGACGGUUACGACUUCGCAUGUCACCUGCGACCAUGACAUAUGCUCGCGACGCGACCUCGCGAGACCAUCUGAAAUCACAGAUCGUAGUCCUGAUCGGAUCGGAGUCUGCACUCGACUCGUCGAAUCGCAUCGAUCGCAGAUCAGAUCGCACGCUAAGCAUUCCGGUCCCAGAGAUAAA